UGACAACCGCUCCCAGCCUCUCCCACAUGGCCAGCUCCGCGUCCCGGGCUGCGAAGCCCCCGCCUCCUCCGCCUCCGCCGGUGACGACGGGGGCGGCAGGUGGGGCAGCGACCUCCACGACUCUGGGGCCAUCUGCAGCCAAGCGGCCGCUCCUCCGUUGGUCGCCGCCUCGGCCCUCAGCUGCCGCUCGGAUCCAUCUGCG
rnacentral:misc_RNA from 1 species